rnacentral:rRNA from 1 species
UACGGAGGGUGCAAGCGUUAUCCGGAUUCACUGGGUUUAAAGGGUGCGUAGGUGGGCAGGUAAGUCAGUGGUGAAAUCUCCGGGCUUAACCCGGAAACUGCCAUUGAUACUAUCUGUCUUGAAUACCGUGGAGGUGAGCGGAAUAUGUCAUGUAGCGGUGAAAUGCUUAGAUAUGACAUAGAACACCAAUUGCGAAGGCAGCUCACUACACGAAUAUUGACACUGAGGCAUGAAAGCGUGGGGAUCAAACAGG